UACGGAGGAUGCGAGCGUUAUCCGGAUUUAUUGGGUUUAAAGGGUGCGUAGGCGGACUUUUAAGUGAGAUGUGAAAUACUCGGGCUCAACUUGAGUGCUGCAUUUCAAACUGGAAGUCUAGAGUGCAGGAGAGGAGAAUGGAAUUCCUAGUGUAACGGUGAAAUGCGUAGAGAUUAGGAAGAACACCAGUGGCGAAGGCGAUUCUCUGGACUGUAACUGACGCUGAGGCUCGAAAGCGUGGGGAGCAAACAGG
rnacentral:rRNA from 1 species